rnacentral:rRNA from 1 species
UACGUAGGCAGCGAGCGUUGUUCGGAGUUACUGGGCGUAAAGGGUGUGUAGGCGGUUGUUUAAGUUUGGUGUGAAAUCUCCCGGCUCAACUGGGAGGGUGCGCCGAAUACUGAAUGACUUCGAGUGCGGGAGAGGAGAGUGGAAUUCCUGGUGUAGCGGUGAAAUGCGUAGAUAUCAGGAGGAACACCGGUGGUGUAGACGGCUCUCUGGACCGUAACUGACGCUGAGACACGAAAGCGUGGGGAGCAAAAGGG